UGGCUUAGUGGUUAAGCACUUGGCUGUUAACCAAAGAGUCAGUGGUUCGAACCCACC
rnacentral:tRNA from 1 species